CCAGCAGCUGCGGUAAUUCCAGCUCCAAUAGCGUAUAUUAAAGUUGUUGCAGUUAAAAAGCUCGUAGUUGGAUUUCUGGUGGGGGUCGCUGGUCGGGCCCGAAAGGGUCUGUACCGAUGUGUACUUCCGCCAUCCUUGGGGAGAGCUAUUCUGGCAUUAAGUUGUCGGGGUAGGGAUCCUCAUCUUUUACUGUGAAAAAAUUAGAGUGUUCAAAGCAGGCUAAGGCCGUUGAAUACAUUAGCAUGGAAUAAUAAGAUAGGGCCUUGGUGGUCUAUUUUGUUGGUUUGCACGCCAGGGUAAUGAUUAAUAGGGAUAGUUGGGGGUAUUCGUAUUCAAUUGUCAGAGGUGAAAUUCUUGGAUUUAUGGAAGACGAACUACUGCGAAAGCAUUUACCAAGGAUGUUUUCAUUAAUCAAGAACGAAAGU
rnacentral:rRNA from 1 species